rnacentral:rRNA from 1 species
AGCGAACGCUGGCGGCAGGCCUAACACAUGCAAGUCGAACGAACCUUUCGGGGUUAGUGGCGGACGGGUGAGUAACACGUGGGAACGUGCCUUUAGGUUCGGAAUAACUCAGGGAAACUUGUGCUAAUACCGAAUGUGCCCUUCGGGGGAAAGAUUUAUCGCCUUUAGAGCGGCCCGCGUCUGAUUAGCUAGUUGGUUGAGGUAAUGGCUCACCAAGGUGACGAUAAGUAGCUGGUCUGAGAGGAUGAUCAGCCACAUUGGGACUGAGACAAGGCCCAAAAUCCUACGGGAGGCAGCGGUGGGGAAUCUUGAGCAAUGGGCGAAAGCCUGACGCAGCCAUGCCGCGUGAAUGAUGAAGGUCUUAGGAUUGUAAAAUUCUUUCACCGGGGACGAUAAUGACGGUACCCGGAGAAGAAGCCCCGGCUAACUUCGUG